rnacentral:rRNA from 1 species
CCGCGGUAUCCUGACCGUGCAAAGGUAGCAUAAUCACUUGCCUAUUAAUUGUAGGCUAGAAUGAAAGGACAAACGAGAAUACACCUGUCUCCUUUAAGCCCCUAAAAAUUUAUCUUUAAGUGAAGAAGCUUAAAUAAACGUGCAGGACAAGAAGACCCUAUAGAGCUUUACCUAUAAGCCACAUAAACAGUGGUUAGCGGUUCGGUUGGGGCGACCAGGGGAUACUAACCACCCCUAAAUUAUAAGAUCAACUAAUCCUAUCAUAGAUCCUUUAUCAAGAUCAAAGAAUCAAGCUACCUUAGGGAUAACAGGCUAAUCCUCUUAGAGAGCCCUUAUCGACAAGAGGGGUUGGCACCUCGAUGUUGGCUU